rnacentral:rRNA from 1 species
ACGAACGCUGGCGGCGUGCCUAAUACAUGCAAGUCGAGCGGAAUGAUGAAGAAGCUUGCUUCUUCUGAUUUUAGCGGCGGACGGGUGAGUAACACGUGGGCAACCUACCUUGUAGAUUGGGAUAACUCCGGGAAACCGGGGCUAAUACCGAAUAAUCCAUUUUGCUUCAUGGCGAGAUGUUGAAAGACGGUUUCGGCUGUCACUAUAAGAUGGGCCCGCGGCGCAUUAGCUAGUUGGUAGGGUAAUGGCCUACCAAGGCGACGAUGCGUAGCCGACCUGAGAGGGUGAUCGGCCACACUGGGACUGAGACACGGCUCAGACUCCUACGGGAGGCAGCAGUAGGGAAUCUUCCACAAUGGACGAAAGUCUGAUGGAGCAACGCCGCGUGAGUGAAGAAGGUUUUCGGAUCGUAAAACUCUGUUGUAAGGGAAGAACACGUACGAGAGUAACUGCUCGUACCUUGACGGUACCUUAUUAGAAAGCCACGGCUAACUACGUG